GCACCAUACAUACACAGCCCAUAAUCUGAACUCGCGUUAAUCCGACCACAGUGUAUUAUCUGUGUACACGGCUGGACCCGCUGUUUGUUUUACAACAUCACGAUGUACAUCAUUGUUCCUGAGAUACCCUGACUCUCCCUGUGACUCUUUGAACUGAUCAAAAUGACGUCAGAGAAGCGGGUGGCAGUGAUUGGUGCAGGAGCCAGCGGUUUGACCGCCAUCAAGUGUUGUCUGGACGAAGGGAUCACCCCUGUCUGUUUUGAGAAAACUGACCACAUUGGUGGGCUGUGGCACUACACCGAUGACCCCCAGGAUGGACAGGCCUGUGUGAUGAAGUCCACGGUCAUCAAUACCAGUAAAGAGAUGAUGUGUUACAGCGACUUCCCCAUUCCCAGGGAAUUCCCCGUCUUUAUGCACAACAAAUACGUUCUCAGAUACUUCAAUCUGUACGCUGAAAAUUUUAAUCUUACACAACAUAUCAAUUUCCAAACAGAGGUAAGUUUACUAAUAUCAAAUUUCAACUGACACUGAGUGAGGACUGUAAAAAGGUGAAAAAAUGUGAAAAUUUUAAUAAAAGUGAAUUUUUUUAAAAUAUUAACAUUUUGAUCAGAGACAUAAAUGUUUAUGUCUCUGUUUUGAUCAAUCAUUGAAAUUGAAUUUUUCGAAUUUUUAGGUAGUCAGUAUCAAACAAAAUAAAAAUUUCAAAGACAAUGGGUGUUGGGAUGUCAAAACACGUGAUCUGAAGACCGGUCACACCCAAGAAGAGACUUAUGACGGAGUACUGGUGUGUACGGGUCACCAUGCAGACAAAAACGUCCCCAAAUUCCCCGGACUUGAUAGGUUCAAAGGAGAAAUAGUUCAUUCACAUGAUUACAAAACCCUCACGGGGUACGAGGACAAACGGAUAGUAGUCAUCGGUAUAGGAAAUUCGGGCGGAGACGCGGCGGUAGAACUCAGUCGUGUCGCUAAUCAGGUGUUCCUUAGCACGCGGAAAGGGUCAUGGAUCGUGAAUAGGAUCGAUAGCUACGGACAACCGGUAGACAUGGUCCGGACAACACAAUUCAUGUUCUGGUUGAAAAAAAAUAUUGUACCGGAGGCUGUUAUCACUAAGAUUAUCGAGGCAAAGUUGAACCAGAGAUUCGAUCACGCAACCUACAGUCUUAAACCCGACUUCCCACCACUGGCGGCCCAUCCCACCGUCAACGAUGACCUCCCCAACAGGAUCAUCAGCGGCAACGUGAUCAUCAAACCCGACGUCAAACGCUUCACUGAAUCAGCUGUGGAGUUUGAUGACGGGACGGCAGAGGACGAUAUUGACGUUGUUUUCCUGGCGACGGGGUACAUCUUCGGGUUUCCGUUCUUGGAUAAGUCUGUGUUGGAGGUGAAGGAGAACCGGGUUCACUUGUACAAGUGGAUGUUCCCGCCGGAUCUAGAACACGAUACACUGGCGGUCAUUGGGUGUAUACAGCCGCUGGGCGCCAUAAUGCCGAUCUCUGAGCAACAGUGCCGGCUGUAUGCCCGGGUCUUAAAGGGAAAAGUAAAAUUACCACCCCCAGACGUAAAAUGGCAAGACAUCAAAGAGAAAGUAACGGACAUGGCCAAGCAUUAUGUCAAAAGUCAACGUCACACAAUUCAAGUCAACUACGUCGAUUUCAUGAACGAGUUAGCGAUCCUGAACGGAAACUGUCCCAAUCUUGUCCGCCUGUUCUUCAAAGACCCACGGCUAGCCAUGAACUGUUUCUUUGGACCCUGUACUCCGUACCAGUAUCGGCUGCAGGGCCCCGGGCGAUGGCGCGGAGCCAGGCAGUGUAUUCUGACCCAGUGGGAGCGGACACUUUACCCCCUGAAGACUCGACCCGUUAAAAACCCACCCAGGGAAUCCCAAGCGCUGUUCUUCCUUUUCUUUCUGAUUAUUGUUGGAGUGUUCACCAUUACAGUACAUUUACUUUUCAUGAGGUGAUUCCGAAAGGAAAUCUGAAUGGAAUAUAUUGUUACUGGUGCUCAAUUGUGUUUGUACAUUAGUAAUGGUUAUCUUCAAGAUCAAAACUGAUAUUCAUACUUGGUAUAAUUCUAUUUAAUGUUUUUGUGUUCUAUUGACUGGACGUUGUUUUUUUUUUGUAGAUUUGUAGAAAUCAUAUAUAUUCGUUACAAUUAGCUUUGUUAUCCUCACUCAAUUUCAUGCUCUGGUAAACAAAAAUUAAGAAAUAACAUGUAU
rnacentral:misc_RNA from 1 species